AAAUCUUCGUCGCAACUCCGAAUUCGAUUCUGCUUACAUCUACGCUUUCAUACCGUCGAAUACUUUGAGAAUACAAUAAAGUAAUAGUUCAAGCACGUCAUGAACUAACGGUAAACGAAAGUCUAUUAUCUAGCAUCUAGGGUAUUUUCGUCAAUUCAAGCUUUUAAAAUUAAUAAAAUCGUAAAAGUAAGGACGAAUUGUCACGGUGGUAAUGGUAUCCAUUAUCAAUACCGUACCAUAAAAUUUCAGUACGGUACAAUAUCGUAUCAUUAUCGAUUGGCACAAAAUCGGUAUGGCACAUCAAUUUGGCAAAAAAAUCCACCCCUAGCAUUUAUAAAUAGAAUAAAUCCCACAAUAGUUUGUGGUUUUUAUUUAUCGAAAAUAAGAACUUUUAAACACAUUACAUGAACCACUCACCUUUUAUUUUACAGAUGAGUUAUUUGGCAAGACAAAUGAUAAAUGAGCUGAGAUUGUAUUAGACGAGGAAUUUAAGAGUUUUUAUUUUAUUAUUUUGUACACUUGUAAGGUUUUUUUCGAGAUAUUUGAAUAAGAGAUGUUUGUUUUUCAUUUUUAUUUUUAAUUUUAUUUGCGUGCCAAGCGU
rnacentral:lncRNA from 1 species